rnacentral:rRNA from 1 species
UCGGGAAUUUUGGGCAAUGGGCGAAAGCCUGACCCAGCAACGCCGCGUGAAGGAUGAAGUAUUUCGGUAUGUAAACUUCGAAAGAAUAGGAAGAAUAAAUGACGGUACUAUUUAUAAGGUCCGGCUAACUACGUGCCAGCAGCCGCGGUAAUACGUAGGGACCAAGCGUUGUUCGGAUUUACUGGGCGUAAAGGGCGCGUAGGCGGCAAUUCAAGUCAUCUGUGAAAUCUCCGGGCUUAACUCGGAACGGUCAGAUGAUACUGCUUUGCUAGAGUGCAGAAGGGGCAAUCGGAAUUCUUGGUGUAGCGGUGAAAUGCGUAGAUAUCAAGAGGAACACCUGAGGUGAAGACGGGUUGCUGGGCUGACACUGACGCUGAGGCGCGAAAAGCCAGGGGGAG